CCUCGGGAGGCAGCAGUAGGGAAUCUUCCACAAUGGGCGAAAGCCUGAUGGAGCAACGCCGCGUGCAGGAUUAAGGCUUUCGAGUCGUAAACUGCUUUUAUAAGUGAAGAUUAUGACGGUAACUUAUGAAUAAGGAUCGGCUAACUCCGUGCCAGCAGCCGCGGUCAUACGGAGGAUCCAAGCGUUAUUCGGAAUGACUGGGCGUAAAGAGUUGCGUAGGUGGUUUGUUAAGCAGAAUGUGAAAUUUCAAGGCUCAACCUUGAAACCGGAUUCUGAACUAAUAAACUAGAGCAUGUUAGGGGUAGCUGGAAUUCCUGGUGUAGGAGUGAAAUCCGUAGAUAUCAGGAGGAACACCAAUGGCGUAGGCAGGCUACUGGGACAUUGCUGACACUGAGGCACGAAAGCGUGGGGAGCGAACCGGAUUAGAUACCCGGGUAGUCCACGCCGUAAACGAUGGAUGCUAGCUGUUGGGGGUAUCGACCCCCUCGGUAGCGAAGCUAACGCGUUAAGCAUCCCGCCUGGGGAGUACGGUCGCAAGAUUAAAACUCAAAUGAAUUGACGG
rnacentral:rRNA from 1 species